UGCGUGAGUCGUAGCCAAACUCGGCUUUAAUCCGCUUUCUUAAAGCGGGACGGGAAACAAGGACGUUUCCCGCCGGCCAUGCGACAAGGAUGUCGCUUUGGCCGGGAAUCCCGCCCGCUUCCAUAACGGAUUAAAGCCCUAGUUUGGCACGACGAACGUA
rfam:Desulfosporosinus sp. I2 contig00018, whole genome shotgun sequence.